GCAGUGGUAGCUCAGUGGUUAAGACGUUGGACUACUGACGGAUUACUGAUCAUAAGGUCGUAAGUUCAAAUCCUAACCCUUGAG